CGUAGGAUGCGAGCGUUGUUCGGAUUUAUUGGGCGUAAAGCGUACGUAGGCGGCUUUUUAAGUCUGGUGUUAAAGCUAGGGGCUCAACCCCUGUGUUGCACUGGAAACUGGGAAGCUUGAGUGUGGUAGGGGAAGGUGGAAUUCCGAGUGUAGCGGUGAAAUGCGUAGAUAUUCGGAAGAACACCGGUGGCGAAAGCGACCUUCUGGGCCAUUACUGACGCUGAGGUACGAAAGCUUGGGGAGCGAACGGGAUUAGAUACCCUGGUAGUCCACGCCCUAAACUAUGGAUACUCGACAUUUGCGAUAAACUGCAAGUGUCUGAGCGAAAGCAUUAAGUAUCCCACCUGGGAAGUACGAUCGCAAGAUUG
rnacentral:rRNA from 1 species